GAUGUUUCUCGUCUUGUCGAGUUCCUCUCUAUCAACUGGAUAGAGUUCGUCUUCGUUUCUCCUCUUCAGCAGUCUUCUGUUGAUUUCUUUUGCCAUGCGGAUGGCUCUCCUUCAUCCUUUUCUUCUUUUAUGUCUUACACAGGCCUAAAUCGUUAACCCAGUUAUACUUCCUCUUCAUCUUUCUUGGCAGUGGUCUUCUUUUUCCUCUGGGUUUUCCCUUUUCUCCAUCUGCAUGUCGAUAAUAUUGAUGAUACCGACUUUCCUCCGUUGAACCGUUCCACCAUUUCCUCCUGUUGAUUUCUUUUGCCAUGCGGAUGGCUCUCCUUUAUCCUUUUCUUCUUUUAUGUCUUACACAGGCCUAAAUCGUUAACCAAGUUAUACUUCCUCUUCAUCUUUCUUGGCAGUGGUCUUCUUUUCCUCUGGGUUUUCCCUUUUCUCCAUCUGCAUGUCGAUAAUAUUGAUGAUACCGACUUUCCUCCGUUGAACCGUUCCACCAUUUCAUCGAUGGCCCUUGACGAUGACCCGGAUGCAUCUCGGAUCGCUACACUUUGUCAAAAACUUGGCCGAUUAAGUACAGAAAAAGAAAUUGCAGAGUUGCGCGUUGAACCCACACCUGGUGCUGUCGAGGAAUGCAAGCUUCUGUUAAAAGGUAAAGUCCCCUCCAACCCUUCCUUUAAUUUCCCGGCCUUUCAGUCAGUCUUGAAGCGGGCAUGGAGGUUGGACCAUGCAGAAAUCAUACAGAAAGAAGCAGGACUGUAUUUAGCAAAAUUCAAGUCUCAAGCUGAAAAACAGCGAAUUCUCGACACUGGACCUUGGCAAUUCUCAGGACAUCUUAUAAAUUUUAAACCAUGGGUUGCCAACACCCCUCUACACUGCUAUGACUUUUCUACAUGUGCAUUUUGGGUUCAGAUAAUUGGGUUACCUUUGGAAUGCUGUACUGACGAUAUGAUCCGCACGGCUGUUAGUACGGUUGGCUCUGUUUUGCAAGUUAAAUCUGAGUUCGCCACUGGUUCCGCACUGAAAGCUUGCCGUGCUCGAGUUGAGUUGGAUUUAUCUACACCAUUGAAGGUAGGUCGCCUAAUUAAACUUCAACAUCAAACUCUGUGGUUGGAUUUUCGGUACGAAAGGUUACCUCACUAUUGUUAUUCUUGUGGACGACUGGGUCAUUACACUGAUUCUUGCCCCUUCAUUCCUUUUGAGGAAAAAAUGACCACAGAUGCUGACAAAACUCCUUAUGGUCCAUGGUUAAAAGCAAAAGUUCAGAAAUACAGCCCUUACUGGCAGUGUUACUAUGGCCAAUCAAUUAUGGAGGAGGAGAAUGAAGACACCAUACCUGAAACUCCUCCCAUGGCAGUUCAUUCUCUUCCACUUCUUCUACCGCCCAUUCCUGUUACACCCUCCUCUCCACAGGAAUCUACUCCAAUAGAACCACAAACCAGAAAUGAUUCCUCCAGCAUCACUCCCCCUGUGCACCACACCUUAACCACCGCUCUAAUUCCAGCUAUAGAGAAACUGAAAGGAGUGUAAUGGCCAACAUCAACUCAUCAGGCUAAAAAAGGUAACAGUAUUCGACCGAUAAGUAAGAUAAGUCCUGCAAAGAAACCCAGGCGUUAUACUCCCUAUGCCUUACCAGGAGAGCAUACCGGACUUUAUGAUGACUCUUGCUUGUUAGACACACCCAUUAUGGAGGCCUCUGAAGAUGUUAUGCGGGCGACGGUGGCUGGCCCUAAACAGUCACCAAAUCAACGAUGAAAAUCAUAAGUUGGAACUGUCAGGGUUUGGGCAAUCCCCUAACAGCCCUAUCUCUAAAAGCCCUUUUGGCUAAGGAAAAGCCUGACCUGUUAUUUUUUAUGGAGACCAAAAAUGUUGAUGAUGUUCUCCUUCGCUUGAAAAGAUCUUCUGGUUUUUUGCAUCACAGGCUGGUUAGCCCUGUUGGAUCUGCGGAGGGCUUAGCUCUUUUUUGGAAUGCAGGGCUCUCUCUGUCAGACUUCUCCUCCUCUCCACAUUUUUUGGACUUUACUUGUAUGGAUUUCUCCGAAGCCAGGUCUAUGAGAAUUACUUGUCUUCAUGCACCUGCAGUUGUUCAACACCGUCAGCAUCUUUGGCAGACCUUACGUCAUUUUAGUAGCUUCAAUGUCUUACCUUGGGUAUGCUGUGGUGACUUUAAUGAAAUUCUACACAGAUGGGAGAAAAUAGGAUCUCGGCCACCAGAUUCUUACCGCCUUGACUCUUUUCGUGAGCUCCUCAAUGAUUGCCGGUUGUUGGAUUUACCUUCUCAUGGUUGUGCUUACACGUGGUCCAAUAACAGAGUUGGAGAUGCUUUGGUGAAGGAGAGAUUGGAUCGAGCGGUCUGCAAUGCUGAAUGGCGUGUCUCUUACCCGAAUGCUCAAGUGUUAGCUCUGCCUGCAAUAGGAUCAGAUCACAGCCCUCUUGUUAUUAACACAACACCCAGUAUGAGUCGACGAAAGAGACACUUUACCUUUGAAGCUUUAUGGAACCAGGAUCCCGGAUGUCAAUCAGUUGUUAAAACCUCCUGGCACUCAGCCUCGACAAGGGACUCUUCUCUUCCAGUAAAGCUACGUGCAGUUGCCACAGCUCUGUCCACUUGGAGUCGCCA
rnacentral:lncRNA from 1 species